AGGCAGCCUCCUCUGUCCCCGGGGCGCUCAAAGAAUUUGUGAGACCUGAGCUGCUGGAUGGUGAGAAUUGCUACAAAUGCAGCAAGUGUGAGAAGAUGGUUGCUGCGUCCAAGAGGUUUACAAUACAUUGCUCUUCCAACGUUCUCACCAUAGCCCUGAAAAGAUUUGCCAACUUCACUGGUGGAAAGAUUAGCAAGGAUGUGGAAUAUCCAGAGUAUUUGGACCUGCGAGCAUACAUGUCUCAGCCAGUUGGAGAACCAGUCCUCUACGCCUUAUAUGCAGUCCUGGUGCACAGAGGUGCCAGCGGUCGUGCAGGA